GCGCGAAAACUUUGCAAUGCGGGAAACCGUGACAAGGGAACUCUGAGUGCCCGUAAAAUCGGGCUGUCCAUCAGUUUAAAUAACUGGUGAAGAAAGGGCCGGGCAAGACCGGUGCCAGCCGCCGCGGUAAUACCGGCGGCUCGAGUGGUGGCCACUAUUACUGGGCUUAAAGCGUUCGUAGCUGGUUUGUUAAGUCCCUGGGGAAAUCUUCCGGCUUAACCGGAAGGCGUCUCAGGGAUACUGGCAGACUAGGGACCGGAAGAGGUGAGAGGUACUCCAGGGGUAGGAGUGAAAUCCUGUAAUCCUUGGGGGACCACCUGUGGCGAAGGCGUCUCACCAGAACGGCUCCGACAGUGAGGGACGAAAGCUGGGGGAGCAAACCG
rnacentral:rRNA from 1 species